rnacentral:rRNA from 1 species
ACGUAGGGUGCGAGCGUUAAUCGGAAUUACUGGGCGUAAAGCGUACGCAGGCGGCUGGGUAAGACAGGUGUGAAAUCCCCGGGCUUAACCUGGGAACUGCAUUUGCGACUGCCUAGCUAGAGUUUGUCAGAGGGGGGUGGAAUUCCACGUGUAGCAGUGAAAUGCGUAGAGAUGUGGAGGAACACCGAUGGCGAAAGCGGAUCUCUGGCGCGUUACUGACGCUGAGGCUCGAAAGCGUGGGGAGCAAACGG